CAGUCGCCGCGGUAACACGUAGGUGGCAAGCGUUGUCCGGAAUUAUUGGGCGUAAAGGGCUCGCAGGCGGUUUCUUAAGUCUGAUGUGAAAGCCCCCGGCUCAACCGGGGAGGGUCAUUGGAAACUGGGAAACUUGAGUGCAGAAGAGGAGAGUGGAAUUCCACGUGUAGCGGUGAAAUGCGUAGAGAUGUGGAGGAACACCAGUGGCGAAGGCGACUCUCUGGUCUGUAACUGACGCUGAGGAGCGAAAGCGUGGGGAGCGAACAGGAUUAGAUACCCCAGUAGUCCCUGUCUCUUAUAC
rnacentral:rRNA from 1 species